rfam:Oblitimonas alkaliphila strain E5571 chromosome.
ACUGUGUAGGUUUAAAUCCACACACGUAUCGACACGCUUUUCUGGGUGCCUUUUGGUAGGUUGGAAUGCGGGAUGCGUGGAGGCAUAAC